UAAAGUCAUUUUACUCAUUAUUACCUACUAUAUAUCUUUCAUAAUAAAGUCUAUAAAUUAAACUGCAAAACUCAAACAUUGAACCUCACCAAUCUUCAUCAAUAGACGCAGAACUAAGAUUUUAAGUUUAUGGGUUCUGAAUUCAAGUAAAGAUAUACAAAGUUUGAGCCAAAGUUGCUGAAUUCUGCCGAACCUGAUCAUCAUCAUUAGAAGACGAAUAGGAAGAGGAAGAACUAUGGUAGCUCACAGCGAUCGAGCAAAUCCAUCAGAAACCGUAGCAUGUCAUUCAUCGUCAAUGAUAUACAUUUUCCUUUUGAUGGCAUUUAACAUUUUCGGGACAAUCUAUAGAGCGUAUAUUCACGAGCAGUAUUCACUCUUAGCUUUCAUCUUAUUCGUAUAUAUCACCUUCUUUUUACUAGUGUAUCUCUCGUAUGUAUAUCGUGGUUUUUCAUCGAAGGAAAAGUCAUUGCAUAAGGA